rnacentral:rRNA from 1 species
AGGUUUCGAUCAUGGCUCAGAUUGAACGCUGGCGGGAUGCUUUACACAUGCAAGUCGAACGGCAGCACGGACUUCAGUCUGGUGGCGAGUGGCGAACGGGUGAGUAAAUCUUCGUGGUGAUGGCGCGGAAGUAUCGGAACGUGCCCUGUGUGAGGAUAACUACGCGGCGUAGCUAAUACCGCAUACGCCCUUCGAGGAAAGCAGAGGACCUUCGGGCCUCGCACUAUUAGAGCGGCCGAUAUCAGGAUUGUAGUUGGUGGGGUAACGGCUCGCAAGGCGACGAUCGUAGCUGGUUUGAAGGACGACCAGCCCGCUGGGACUGAGACACGGCCCAGACCUACGAGAGCAGCAGUGGGAAUUUUGGACAAUGGGGAAACCCUGAUCCAGCCAUCCCGCGUGUGCGAUGAAGGCCUUCGGGUUGUAAAGCACUUUUGGCAGAAAGAAACGGCACGGGAUAAUACCCCGUGCAACUGAUGGUACCUGCAGAAUAAGCACCGGCUAACUACGUGCCAGCAGCCGCGGUAAUACGUAGGGUGCAAGCGUUAAUCGGAAUUACUGGGCGUAAAGCGUGCACGCACGAGCGGUUCGGAAAGAAAGAUGGCAAAUCCCAGAGCUUAACUUUGGAACUGCAUUUUUAACUACCGAGCUAGAGUGUGUCAGAGGGAGGUGGAAUUCCGUGUAGCAGUGAAAUGCGUAGAUAUGCGGAGAACACCGAUGGCGAAGGCAGCCUCCUGGGAUACUGACGCUCAUGCACAGCGUGGGGAGCAAACAGGAUUAGAUACCCUGGUAGUCCACGCCUAAACGAUGUCAACUAGCUGUUGGGGCCUUCGGGCCUUGGUAGCGCAGCUAACGCGUGAAGUUGACCGCCUGGGGAAGUACGGUCGCAAGAUUAAAACUCAAAGGAAUUGACGGGGACCCGCACAAGCGGUGGAUGAUGUGGAUUAAUUCGAUGCAACGCGAAAAACCUUACCUACCCUUGACAUGUCUGGAAUCCCGAAGAGAUUUGGGAGUGCUCGCAAGAAACCGGAACACAGGUGCUGCAUGGCUGUCGUCAGCUCGUGUCGUGAGAUGUUGGGUUAAGUCCCGCAACGAGCGCAACCCUUGUCAUUAGUUGCUACGAAGGGCACUCUAAUGAGACUGCCGGUGACAAACCGGAGGAAGGUGGGGAUGACGUCAAGUCCUCAUGGCCCAUAUGGGUAGGGCUUCACACGUCAUACAAUGGUCGGGACCAGAGGGUCGCCAACCCGCGAGGAGCCAAUCCCAGAAACCCGAUCGUAGUCCGGAUCGCAGUCUGCAACUCGACUGCGUGAAGUCGGAAUCGCUAGUAAUCGCGGAUCAGCAUGUCGCGGUGAAUACGUUCCCGGGUCUUGUACACACCGCCCGUCACACCAUGGGAGUGGGUUUUACCAGAAGUAGUUAGCCUAACCGUAAGGAGGGCGAUUACCACGGUAAGUUCAUGACUGGGGUGAAGUCGUAACAAGGUAA